ACACCCAUUGGAAUCCCAGACCUCGGCACCCUAGCUAAGCCAGCCAUGCACUGCCAACUUGGAAGAACCCCACAUUGGGUCAUUAAAAGACCUGCUGGAUUCCAGGCUUCUGGCACUGACCAUGGCUCAGGCACUCUGCUAGGUGUUAGCAAUACAGUUCUAAACAGGGCUAACAAGGUCUCUGUACUCCUCACAAAGUUUAUUCAAGAGGUGGGAGACAUAUCUUCCAGUGGUGGGAGACAGACAACACAAAAAUGUUUUCAAAUGGUACAAUAGGGUCAUGGAACAAAGAGAACCGUAUUUUAGACAAGACGCUCAGCAAAGAUGGCCUUUCAUUGAGACAGGAAAAGAGAACCAAGCAAAGAUCUGAGAAAAGAUUGCUCCAGGUAGAGGAACCAGCAAGCACAAUGGCCCCGCCUAAGCAAAAGCAGACUCAGCCUGUUUAAGGAAGCAGAAGGUAGAAGUAGCUGGAGUUUAGUAAAUGAGGGGGGAAGUUGGUAGGAAACAUGGUCAGCAAGACAGCCAUGGGCCUGAUAUCACAGAGGCCAUGGGAAGUAUCUGGAUUUUAUUAUAAAUAGACUUGGAAGGCAUUGAAGGGUUUAAACACAAGCAAUAUGAUCUAUACUCAGUUUUUAAAAGAUUGUUCAGUCUGCUGAGUGGUGAUUGAGGGUAGGGUCAGGGAGAGGUGCGGGAAUGAGUAGAAGCAGGAAGGGAAGGCUGGUGACUUGCAGGAGCCCUGGUGAAAGAUGGUGGCUCAGACUAGAAUGACAUCAGUGGAGAGGAAUGAAGUGGUUGGAUUCUGGGUAUAUUCUGGAGGCCAAGCUCAUGAGUAUUAUUGCCAUCGAACUUCAGUUUUCUCAUCUGUAAAAUGAAGAUAAUAAUUCCUGCCCACUCAUCUACAGCAUUACUGAGGAGAGUCACUGUGAGCUUGCUCCACAACCCAGAAAGCAUCAUCACAGGCUCCUGAGCUUCCUAAUGGCAAGUCUGCUUUUGGAUAUCAUUUCCUGCUUUCCAAAUCAACCUCACCACCCAGUGCUCCUUCAUCCUCAUGACAAUCCUGGGAGAUUCUAAGUGCCAUGAGAGGAGAGAUCUUUUCUGUUUCGUUCACUGUGGCUAUCUCUAGGGCUCUAAAUUCUGCUUGCCACUGAAUGAGUGCUCAACAAUUUUUUUGACGAAUAAAAAAAUGAACAAAAUUAUUGAGUGGAGUAAAAAAUAAAUACACACAAAUGCUGCACACGGCCAGAUUAUAUUUCCCAGCCUCCCUUACAGUUAGGAGUGGUCACGUGGCUAAAGGGCUACCGAAUGGAAUGUUCAUGCAUAUUAGUAUGGUGGCCUUGGAUGCCAUACAUUAAGGACGGCAGAAUCACAGGGUAGAAGAAGCCUGAGUCCAUAAACCACCCCUUGAAAGAGAGCCAUCUACCAACCUAAAAUACCUAUUUGGACUUUCUAUGGAUAAAAAAUAAAUCAUAAUGUGUUUAAACCAUUAUAUAUUGGUGCUUGUUGAAGCAGCCAGUGUAUCUAUAGAAGAGUAUGACAACAACAAAAGAAAAAAUUAAAAAUCUCCUGCCACUCAUUCCCAAAGAGGAAGCCUGUGCUGAAUAAAUGAAGGGUACAAACAGGUUUUUGUUGUGUGAUGGGGAGGAACAGUGAAGGAGUGAAGAACGGCAGAAAUUGAGGACAGACCAAAUUUCUCUACAAGAAAAAGCUGUAUGGACGUUCGUGAGAAGGAGAGGAGGACCAGCAUGUGAGGAGAAAGAAACAGAGGAAGAGAGAGGAGGAGAGGAUAUGGAGAAACAGAGUAAGAGACAAAGAUAUAGUGACAAAGAUGGGGAAUGGAGAACUGGGAAGAAUAGUUAGGCAACUACUAAGAAAAGUAGGACUUUGGGAAGAGUCAAAGGAAAUAAACAGCCCCAGGAAGACUUAUUGUAUAUUGAACCAUGUGAUUCUUCCCUACUCCCUCAAGAAAACCUAAAAUAAAGAGCUAUAUGACCUUUCAAGGAAUUUCCAAGCCAAAUUUGUGUUUCUCAUGGAUAUAACACUUUACUAGAAUGGACUUUAAAGCAGAAACAAGACCAGAUUCUCUGAAUUAUAAUAGUAUCCGAAUGAUAGCGGUUUAUUUUGGUUCGGUUCGGUUCGGUUCGGUUCGGUUCGGUUUGGUUUGGUUAAGCAAGAAGAGCACAAAGUUUAAUCCAUAAUCGGCACUUAAUAAACAUCGGGAAGUGAGGGACAAGGAGGCAGGCACGUAAAUGUGGAAUUGGGAUUUACUAUAGACUAAGAAGACAUCUGAGAUGGAAACAUUCACCAAAUCAAGAGAGAAUACUAAAUUACAUGAUCAGAUUUCAAAUAGAUCGACUUAAUGAGAUAAAAAUGUGCUGAGAUGAUCUGGUACACCAAGGAUCCUCAACCCUCAAACCAUGGACCAGUACAGGUUUGUGGCCUGUUAGAAACUGGGCCAUGCAGCAGAAGACUUCUAAACUGCGGACAUGUCAGCACUGUGGCAACAAAGACGAAAUUUGAAAACCAGAUCCCCCUGCCAUCUAAUACCUGCAUCGGAGGGAAGCACGGUGAGCGGGACAUCUUUGGUUUCGAUUUUUACAGAAGGCUCCAGUAACGAUUGCAUU